GGGAUGCCUGAGUUUCAGUUCUGGUUUCCCCUUUCCUAGCUGUGUGACUUUAGGCAGUGCUUCUGGAAUCCUUGACUGGUAAUAAUGAAUAGGUAAGAGGGAGAAGAAAACAAAGCGGAGGAAAAUGGAUGGCAAUAAAAGGAUGAAAAGAAGAAAAAAAAAUGGGUGAACUGUAUGGGAUGCCUGGUGGCUCAGCGGUUGAGCAUCUGCCUUCAGCUCGGGACGUGGUCCUGGAGUCCUGGGAUUGAGUCCUGCAUCCAGCUGCUUACGUGGAGCCUGCUUCUCCCUCUGCCUAUGUCUCUACCUCUUUCUGUGUGUCUCUCAUGAAUAAAUAAAUUAAAUCUUUUUAA